GCGACACUAGCUCAGUUGGUAGAGCGCAACCUUCCCAAGGUUGAGGUCACGAGUUCGAACCUCGUGUGUCGCU
rnacentral:tRNA from 1 species